rnacentral:rRNA from 1 species
UGGGGAAUAUUNNNNCUAUGAGGGGGAACCCUGACGCAGCCAUGCCGCGUGAAUGACNAAGGCCUUAGGGUUGUAAAGUUCUUUCGGUAUUGAGGAAGGUUGAUGUGUUAAUAGCACAUCAAAUUGACGUUAAAUACAGAAGAAGCACCGGCUAACUCCGUGCCAGCAGCCGCGGUAAUACGGAGGGUGCGAGCGUUAAUCGGAAUAACUGGGCGUAAAGGGCACGCAGGCGGUUAUUUAAGUGAGGUGUGAAAGCCCCGGGCUUAACCUGGGAAUUGCAUUUCAGACUGGGUAACUAGAGUACUUUAGGGAGGGGUAGAAUUCCACGUGCAGCGGUGAAAUGCGUAGAGAUGUGGAGGAAUACCGAAGGCGAAGGCAGCCCCUUGGGAAUGUACUGACGCUCAUGUGCGAAAGCGUGGGGAGCAAACAGGAUUAGAUACCCUGGUAGUCCACGCUGUAAACGCUGUCGAUUUGGGGGUUGGGGUUUAACUCUGGCGCCCGUAGCUAACGUGAUAAAUCGACCGCCUGGGGAGUACGGCCGCAAGGGUUA